rnacentral:rRNA from 1 species
GACGAACGCUGGCGGCGUGCUUAACACAUGCAAGUCAAGGGGGCCCAGCAAUGGGCAACCGGCGAACGGGUGCGUAACACGUGAGCAACCUACCGAACUGUGGGGGAUAGCCGGCCUAACGGCCGAGUAAUACCGCAUACGCUCUCAGGGAGGCAUUUCUUUGAGAGGAAACCUACGGGACAGAUCGAGGGGCUCGCGGCCUAUCAGCUAGUUGGCGAGGUAACGGCUCACCAAGGCAACGACGGGUAGCUGGUCUGAGAGGAUGGCCAGCCACAUUGGGACUGAGAUACGGCCCAGACUCCUACGGGAGGCAGCAGUGGGGAAUCUUGCGCAAUGGCCUAACGGCUGACGCAGCGACGCCGCGUGUGGGAUGAAGCUCUUCGGAGUGUAAACCACUGUUGCCCGGGACGAAUAGCUCGAUUAAUCGAGCCUGACGGUACC